rnacentral:rRNA from 1 species
AGAGUUUGAUCAUGGCUCAGGACGAACGCUGGCGGCGUGCUUAACACAUGCAAGUCGAACGAUGAAGCCCUUCGGGGUGGAUUAGUGGCGAACGGGUGAGUAACACGUGGGCAAUCUGCCCUGCACUCUGGGACAAGCCCUGGAAACGGGGUCUAAUACCGGAUACUGAUCGCCUUGGGCAUCCUUGGUGAUCGAAAGCUCCGGCGGUGCAGGAUGAGCCCGCGGCCUAUCAGCUUGUUGGUGAGGUAAUGGCUCACCAAGGCGACGACGGGUAGCCGGCCUGAGAGGGCGACCGGCCACACUGGGACUGAGACACGGCCCAGACUCCUACGGGAGGCAGCAGUGGGGAAUAUUGCACAAUGGGCGAAAGCCUGAUGCAGCGACGCCGCGUGAGGGAUGACGGCCUUCGGGUUGUAAACCUCUUUCAGCAGGGAAGAAGCGAAAGUGACGGUACCUGCAGAAGAAGCGCCGGCUAACUACGUGCCAGCAGCCGCGGUAAUACGUAGGGCGCGAGCGUUGUCCGGAAUUAUUGGGCGUAAAGAGCUCGUAGGCGGCUUGUCACGUCGGUUGUGAAAGCCCGGGGCUUAACCCCGGGUCUGCAGUCGAUACGGGCAGGCUAGAGUUCGGUAGGGGAGAUCGGAAUUCCUGGUGUAGCGGUGAAAUGCGCAGAUAUCAGGAGGAACACCGGUGGCGAAGGCGGAUCUCUGGGCCGAUACUGACGCUGAGGAGCGAAAGCGUGGGGAGCGAACAGGAUUAGGUACCCUGGUAGUCCACGCCGU